rnacentral:rRNA from 1 species
UACGUAGGGUGCGAGCGUUAAUCGGAAUUACUGGGCGUAAAGCGUGCGUAGGCGGUCCCGCAAGUCCGCUGUGAAAGCCCCGGGCUUAACCUGGGAAUGGCAGUGGAAACUAUGGGACUUGAAUCUGGCAGAGGGGGGUGGAAUGCCACGUGUAGCAGUGAAAUGCGUAGAGAUGUGGCGGAACACCGAUGGCGAAGGCAGCCCCCUGGGCUAAGAUUGACGCUCAGGCACGAAAGCGUGGGGAGCAAACAGG